rnacentral:rRNA from 1 species
UAAACUGAGGAAGGUGGGGAUGACGUCAAGUCAUCAUGGCCCUUACGACCAGGGCUACACACGUGCUACAAUGGCGCAUACAAAGAGAAGCGACCUCGCGAGAGCAAGCGGACCUCAUAAAGUGCGUCGUAGUCCGGAUUGGAGUCUGCAACUCGACUCCAUGAAGUCGGAAUCGCUAGUAAUCGUGGAUCAGAAUGCCACGGUGAAUACGUUCCCGGGCCUU